rnacentral:rRNA from 1 species
AUGCAAUUUUAUGAAAUCACCAUGGGACGCGGUACCAAGAAAGAAAAGGUAGACUUAGAUCUCAGUGUCCAUGCCGAACGCAUCUUCUAUGAUUUUCAACACCACUCAUUUGCACUGGAGGUUCUGGGCCAACGUGGAUGCUAUGUUCAGAGGAUCCUUCAUGGCCCAGGUGAUGGUCCCAUGAAGGUGAAGUCCCAGGAUGCCAUUCAGAUUGGGCACACACAGUUCUACUUUCUCCUACCAGCUCGCUCCAUCUUUGCAUCCUUUGCUGUUGAGGGCACUCCACAUUCGUUUACGUUUCCGGAUCAUUCCUACCAUAUUGGUUUUGCGAGACGAUCUCCCAGAGAAUGGUUUCAAACUCGGGCGAGCCGUUGGCGAUGGAACAAUAUGGAGGUUCAGCCCUCUAAAUUCUUCGACAAGCGAGGGCUGAACUUUGUGGACCUGGAGGUGGUUGCAGUAAGACUUGCGGCUCAGGGCAUCAGCCAUUACAUUAGCCUUGCCGGGGGUAUAUGA